UAAGAUGGCGGCGGCGUUGGUGGCGGCAGUGGACGGGGCGGCUGGGCCUGGAACAGUUGGAGCAUCCGCUGGCAGAAGGAUGACCCUAGAUGGGAAGCGGGCUGCCGGGCCUCGCCAGCUCCCGUGCUUGUAACUGCCCCAGCCGGACGCCCUCCCCUUGACCUACCGGUUCUUCAGCGAACCUUCAGACCAGUUUUCUCAGGAUCGUGGGCCAGACUUCGGUCGGCGAUAAAAACAGCAAGG
rnacentral:lncRNA from 1 species